rnacentral:ncRNA from 1 species
AAUACCUUUGAGUGAAUAAGAUUUCAAUUGAAAGCAAAAUCUUUUCAACUGUCUCGCAUGCUUGUCGGCUCUUUCCUAGCUCCUUCAUAGCUUAAGAUGUAAACUUCCAAGGAUGGGAAAUGCAGAUUGCACCCUUUAUGGUUUUGUGAAUCAGAAUAUGCAUUUCAAGAAUUGUUUUAUUCAGUAAUAAAAUUAUGUUAUAUCUAUAGCUUCUUUACUGACUCAGUGAAGCAGAGAGGGGUCAAAGGGACCACAUUUCUAACAUUAAGUGUGGAGACUCUGAGCCCCUUAUGAUGUGCUCUGAGGACAGUGUCAGGCGGAGAGUUUGACUGGGAUGGUACGUCUGUCAAAAGAUAAUGUAGGUAUUCUAAGACAAGCUCAGCAGGGACAGAAACCUUUCUUAGAGUAAAAGGGCAAAAGCUAGCUUGAUCUAUAGCUAUGUUCGUCUGUAAGUUUCCUCCUAGUAGUACGCAGUUAAGCCAGCACGAUCUAUAACCAUUAGCCGUGAUUGAAAGGUAAAGGUGCACAUGUGUGGUAAAGGUAAAGGUGCACAUGUGUAUGUGUGUAUGAGCAUAUAUAUGUGUGUGUGUGUAUACACACACAUAGAUAUGUAUGCACAGAGAUACAUGCAUACAUAGAUACAUUUCUGAAUUUGGUCCUGAUAACAGAAGAGUACCAGAUUCUGUGAAUAAUGUCUCCUUUUUAAAAAAUAAAUUGUAUUCAUUUAUAGUCACAAUAAUCUCCAUAGAAAUAAAUGCUCAUUACAACAAUCUCUUAAUAUCAAAACUUUUUUUAUAAUAUUUUACUUUUAGUUAUGAAAAAAUAAUGAACAUUUCACUCUACAAUUUGU